rnacentral:tRNA from 1 species
AACAAUGUAGUUUAAAAAGAAUAUUGAGUUUGCGUCUCGAAGGAAGUGUGCGCUCUUUGUUA